rnacentral:rRNA from 3 species
UACGUAGGGUGCGAGCGUUAAUCGGAAUUACUGGGCGUAAAGCGUGCGCAGGCGGUUUUGUAAGACAGGCGUGAAAUCCCCGGGCUUAACCUGGGAAUUGCGCUUGUGACUGCAAGGCUAGAGUGCGUCAGAGGGGGGUAGAAUUCCACGUGUAGCAGUGAAAUGCGUAGAGAUGUGGAGGAAUACCGAUGGCGAAGGCAGCCCCCUGGGACGUGACUGACGCUCAUGCACGAAAGCGUGGGGAGCAAACAGG